GAUGAACGCUAGCGGCAGGCUUAACACAUGCAAGUCGAGGGGUAUAGUUCUUCGGAGCUAGAGACCGGCGCACGGGUGCGUAACGCGCAUGCAAUCUACCUUUUGCAGAGGGAUAGCCCAGAGAAAUUUGGAUUAAUACCUCAUAGUAUGUGAGAAUGGCAUCAUUUUCACAUUAAAGUCACAACGGCAAAAGAUGAGCAUGCGUCCCAUUAGCUUGUUGGUAAGGUAACGGCUUACCAAGGCAACGAUGGGUAGGGGUCCUGAGAGGGAGAUCCCCCACACUGGUACUGAGACACGGACCAGACUCCUACGGGAGGCAGCAGUGAGGAAUAUUGGACAAUGGGCGCAAGCCUGAUCCAGCCAUGCCGCGUGCAGGAUGACGGUCCUAUGGAUUGUAAACUGCUUUUGUACAGGAAGAAACACUGGUUCGUGAACCAGCUUGACGGUACUGUAAGAAUAAGGAUCGGCUAACUCCGUGCCAGCCGCCGCUGUAACAC
rnacentral:rRNA from 1 species